UUUGACAAGAUGGCGGCAGGAGACAGUGGCGUUGGUGGGAAGCGCAGCUCGAAAAGCGAUGCUGAUUCUGGUUUCCUGGGGCUGCGGCCCACUUCGGUGGACCCAGCGCUGAGGCGGCGGCGGCGAGGCCCAAGAAAUAAGAAGCGGGGCUGGCGGCGGCUUGCUCAGGAGCCGCUGGGGCUGGAGGUUGACCAGUUCCUGGAAGACGUGCGGCUACAGGAGCGCACGAGCGGUGGCUUGCUGUCAGAGGCCCCAAAUGAAAAACUCUUCUUCGUGGACACUGGCUCCAAGGAAAAAGGGCUGACAAAGAAGAGAACCAAAGUCCAAAAGAAGUCACUGCUUCUCAAGAAACCCCUUCGGGUUGACCUCAUCCUCGAGAACACAUCCAAAGUCCCUGCUCCCAAAGACGUCCUCGCCCACCAGGUCCCCAACGCCAAGAAGCUCAGGCGGAAGGAGCAGCUAUGGGAGAAGCUGGCCAAGCAGGGCGAGCUGCCCCGGGAGGUGCGCAGGGCCCAGGCCCGGCUCCUCAACCCUCCAGCGGCCAGGGCCAAGCCCGGGCCCCAGGACACCGUGGAACGGCCCUUCUACGACCUCUGGGCCUCAGACAACCCCCUGGACAGGCCGUUGGUUGGCCAGGAUGAGUUUUUCCUGGAGCAGACCAAGAAGAAAGGAGUGAAGCGGCCACAACGCCUGCACACCAAGCCGUCCCAGGCACCCGCCGUGGAGGUGGCGCCUGCUGGAGCUUCCUACAACCCAUCCUUUGAAGACCACCAGGUACACCGCCCCGUCCAGGCCUCCCUCCUCAGCGGGCUCUGCCUCUCUGUCAGGCCUUCAAUAGCUUCCUCCCUGUGCUGGGUGGUGCUGGGAACUCCAGUGACCCAGACAG
rnacentral:sRNA from 1 species